rnacentral:tRNA from 1 species
CUCUAAUAGUUUAUAAAAACNU